AUUCUGAGGUGCACGGUUCCCGACGCUGUCGGCACAUGCGCGACGGCCCUGCUCCCUCUUCCUCCUUCUCCAGUGGCUUCCACCGUCCGGGCAGCCACCGCCACCGCCGCCCAGGAGUUAGGAAGUUCAAGAUGGCCGCCGCGGAGGCUCAGUCGCUGCGGGAACAGCCAGAGAUGGAAGAUGCUGAUAAUUCUGAAAAGAGUGUAAAUGAAGAAAAUGGAGAAGUAUCAGAAGACCAAUCUCAAAAUAAGCACAGUCGUCACAAAAAAAAGAAGCAUAAACACAGAAGUAAACAUAAGAAACAUAAACAUUCUUCAGAAGAAGACAAGGAUAAAAAACAUAAACAUAAGCAUAAACAUAAGAAACACAAAAGAAAAGAGGUUAUUGAUGCUUCUGACAAAGAAGGUAUGUCUCCAGCAAAAAGAACUAAACUUGAUGAUUUAGCUUUGCUGGAAGACUUGGAGAAACAGAGGGCCUUGAUUAAAGCUGAACUCGAUAAUGAGUUAAUGGAAGGAAAGGUCCAGUCUGGGAUGGGGCUCAUAUUACAAGGUUAUGAGUCUGGCUCUGAAGAGGAGGGGGAGAUUCAUGAAAAGGCACGAAAUGGAAAUAGGUCUAGUACUCGAUCUUCAAGUACGAAGGGGAAACUUGAACUUAUGGACAAUAAAAAUAGUACAAAAAAACGAAGUAAAAGCAGAUCCAAAGAACGGACUAGACAUAGGUCUGAUAAAAAGAAAAGUAAGGGAGGUGUUGAAAUAGUUAAAGAGAAGGUAACAAGGAGCAAGUCAAAGGAGAGGAAAAAGUCCAAAAGUCCCUCUAAAAGAAGUAAGUCUCAAGAUCAGGCAAGAAGGUCAAAGUCUCCUACCCUUAGAAGGCGCUCUCAAGAGAAAAUGGGGAAGGCCAGAUCUCCUGCUGAUGACAAGGUUAAAAUUGAAGAUAAAAGUAAGUCAAAAGAUAGGAAAAAAUCCCCAAUUAUAAAUGAAAGUAGAAGUCGUGAUCGAGGCAAAAAAUCUAGAUCCCCAAUUGACUUGAGAGGUAAAUCCAAAGACAGAAGGUCACGGUCCAAAGAGAGAAAAUCGAAACGGUCUGAAACUGAUAAAGAGAAGAAGCCAAUUAAAUCUCCCUCUAAAGAUGCUUCCUCUGGGAAAGAAAAUAGGUCACCCAGUAGAAGACCUGGUCGUAGUCCCAAAAGAAGAAGUUUGUCUCCGAAACAACGUGAUAAGUCAAGAAGAAGUCGAUCUCCACUCUUAAAUGAUAGAAGGUCUAAGCAAAGCAAGUCACCUUCUCGAACUCUGUCUCCUGGUAGGAGAGCCAAGAGCCGAUCCUUGGAAAGAAAACGCAGAGAGCCUGAACGGAGACGCCUUUCUUCGCCAAGAACACGACCUCGAGAUGACAUCCUCAGUAGGCGUGAAAGGUCAAAAGAUGCCAGCCCAAUCAGUAGGUGGUCUCCAGCCCGAAGAAGAGCCAGUAGAUCUCCUGUUAGGAGGAGGUCCCGCUCCCCCCUCAGACGGAGCCGAUCUCCCAGAAGAAGAAGCCGGUCUCCUCGGAGAAGGGACAGAGGUCGAAGGAGCAGAUCACGCCUGAGGAGGCGGUCUCGGUCCCGGGGUGGUCGUAGACGUAGGAGCCGAAGCAAAGUAAAGGAAGAUAAAUUUAAGGGAAGUCUGUCUGAAGGAAUGAAAGUGGAGCAGGAAUCUUCAUCUGAUGACAACCUUGAAGACUUUGAUGUUGAGGAGGAAGAUGAAGAAGCCUUGAUAGAACAGAGAAGAAUACAAAGGCAGGCCAUUGUUCAGAAAUACAAAUACCUUGCUGAGGACAGCAACAUGUCCGUGCCGUCUGAGCCCAGCAGCCCCCAGAGCAGCACUCGCACCCGCUCUCCCUCUCCUGAGGACAUUCUGGAAAGGGUAGCUGCCGACGUCAAGGAGUACGAACGGGAGAACGUUGAUACGUUUGAGGCCUCGGUCAAAGCCAAGCAUAAUCUCAUGACGGUCGAACAGAAUAAUGGUUCAUCUCAGAAGAAGCUGUUGGCACCCGAUAUGUUUACAGAAUCUGAUGAUAUGUUUGCUGCGUAUUUUGACAGUGCGCGUCUGCGGGCUGCUGGCAUUGGAAAAGAUUUCAAAGAGAAUCCCAACCUCAGGGAUAACUGGACUGAUGCAGAAGGCUAUUAUCGUGUGAACAUAGGUGAAGUCCUGGAUAAGCGUUAUAACGUGUAUGGCUACACGGGUCAAGGCGUGUUCAGUAACGUGGUCCGAGCCAGGGAUAAUGCGAGGGCCAACCAGGAGGUGGCCGUGAAGAUCAUCAGGAACAACGAGCUCAUGCAAAAAACUGGUUUAAAAGAAUUAGAAUUCUUAAAAAAACUGAACGAUGCUGAUCCUGAUGACAAAUUUCAUUGUUUGCGACUCUUCAGACACUUUUAUCACAAACAGCAUCUCUGCCUCGUGUUUGAGCCUCUGAGUAUGAAUUUACGAGAGGUGCUAAAAAAAUAUGGUAAGGAUGUUGGCCUUCAUAUUAAGGCUGUGCGAUCCUAUAGUCAGCAGUUGUUCUUGGCACUAAAACUCCUUAAAAGAUGCAAUAUCCUCCAUGCAGAUAUCAAGCCAGACAAUAUCUUGGUUAAUGAAUCAAAAACUAUUUUAAAGCUCUGCGACUUCGGGUCGGCUUCACAUGUUGCGGAUAAUGACAUAACGCCUUACCUUGUCAGUAGAUUUUAUCGCGCUCCUGAAAUCAUUAUAGGUAAAAGCUAUGACUAUGGUAUAGAUAUGUGGUCUGUAGGCUGCACCUUGUAUGAACUCUAUACUGGAAAGAUUUUAUUUCCUGGCAAAACCAAUAACCAUAUGUUGAAGCUCGCCAUGGACCUCAAAGGAAAGAUGCCAAAUAAGAUGAUUCGGAAAGGCGUAUUUAAAGACCAACAUUUUGAUCAAAACCUCAACUUCAUGUACAUAGAAGUUGAUAAAGUAACAGAGAGGGAGAAAGUUACUGUCAUGAGCACCAUUAAUCCAACUAAGGACCUGUUGGCUGACUUGAUUGGGUGCCAGCGACUUCCUGAAGACCAACGUAAAAAAGUGCACCAGCUGAAGGACUUGUUGGACCAGAUCCUAAUGUUGGACCCAGCUAAACGGAUUAGCAUCAACCAGGCCCUACAGCAUGCCUUCAUCCAGGAGAAGAUUUAAACGAGAUGAAGAAGCUCCAAGGGUUUGAGUAAUUAAAUACAAAGACUGAAGAAAUUUCACAGCAGUUUAUUAAUGUAUAUAAACUUAUAAAUAUUUCUCCAGCAAAUUUGAGGAAGCAUGAUAUAUUUGAAUUAACACCAAGGGUGAUAUUUCUUUUAGAAAUGUUAGUUAAUCUGUUUUGUGUCUUAUGUGAAAUUUCACUGUAGAAAUGUUUUAAUUGCCAAGACUGCACAGAAUUACAGUGCUAAUGUAAAUGGUUGCAGUUCACAUAAAAGACAAAAGCAUCUGUUAUAAAAUGAGUAGUAAUACUGGGUGGUUGAUUUAUUUUUAGCAAACUUGGCUUCAUUUUGGUCUUCAGAUAAAAUGGCCAGCAUAAAUGCUGUUUAUAUUCACGUUUUCCUAGGUGUGUGUGUGCAGGCCACAGCAGCAUGCCCUGGGUGUAGUCAGUGCCGAAAGGGGCCUGUUCCUUCUUGAGCCUGCCUGCAGGGAUGGUCUCCUCUUUUAAAGCAGGUUGUGUACAACAUUCAGUACACUGAAGGCAUAAACCUUCCACUCUUGAACAAAGCAGCUGCUUUUUAAAAGCGGUAAUUGCUUCUUUACCUUUUAUUUCUUUUGUAAAUGAAGCUUUUCUUUAAGGAUGUGACUUUAAAGUGCUGUCUAUUGCAUAAAACAGUUGACACUCACUUACUGUAAAGUGAAGAUGGUUCUACUGCAUGUGACGUGGACCAUGCAGAUUUCUGUAUGUUCUCAGUAUGCAUCACUAGGUAAUAAAGUCUUUUGUGAACAAGGCAUUUGUAGCCAUUUUUAAAAGUUUUUGUCUUCAGUGUUGGUAAGUCAGGUAAACGAUGCAGAGUUAAAAGCAACCUUGCGUUUCUUCCUUUAAGUCUUUAACUGAAAGAAUUAUUUGUUAAAGAUGUAAACCUAGCCAGAAGUUUAUCAUUUUAUUAAUAAUUAGGAUCCUAAUUAUUUCAUCAAGAAAUUCCACCAGUAUUGUCAGCUUUCAGUGUAGUGAGGUAAUUCCUGUAGGUUGUGGGGUAUAAUUCAGGAUUUAACUAAUGUUUCUGCUAUUUUCUCACUUUUCCUUCUGAUGGUGCGGAAAGAGAAAAAGGAAAACGGGGCACAGGCCACUCACCGCCUUCUCCAAGGGGUCUGAUUUGCUGAGACACCAGCUUCACCUUCUUAACAAGGCACCUAAUUACAACAAGCAUGCACAUUUUGGUGCAUUCAAGAAUGGAAAAUCAGAGUAGCAGCAUUCUUCUGGUGGGUUUUACUCCAUUUAAAGGCAUGAAAUGAACUACAGCCAGGAAGGUGAUAGAUGAUACAAUAGGCCAGCUUUGACUCUGUACCCCCCCAUCUCCUCGUGGUUUAGACAUAAACUGACAUAAAUGCCAGGUGGUGCUCAUCCUCAGGUGGUGACGCCUUGUAAACAAGGCGUCCCAGGUGCAGCUUUCCUACCUGAAUGAAACGGGUAGUGAUUUUCCCACCACUGUUUACUUUGGUGAUAAUAUGCUGCAUAGUCAAGUCUUUCCUAGUUACUUUCACUCAAAAUAUUGAUAGUUAACGUUUGUAUGUUUCUGGUGAUUUUCAUGGCUUCAUUUUAUAUACUUAUUUAAGUAAGUUAACUUCCACUUAGAGACAGUUCAUCUUAUGCCUUCAAAACUGUUACGUGUUCUUUAAAAAACAAAGUUGCUUGUCACUUGUUCUUUGUGUUUUAGGUGCAGCUCAGUGGAAGAUGAUGACACCAGAAGACAUGAGCUAAGGGUAAGGGACUGUUCUUCUGAAGAAUCUUUCCAGUUAGUGACCAAGAUAUGGACGCUCACCUCUGAAAAUACUUGACAUGUAUCCUAACUAUUCCCAGUGUCAUUUGAAUUGUAACUUGCAUUUCAGCAGCAAUGUUCCCAGUUGACUUACUAGGAAAAUGUAAUAAAAUGUGCC